AAUCUUAGAAGCAGGUCAGCUGGAUGCAGAUGCCAGCAGCCAACCUAGCAGCAGAAAUCUGGCUGUUGAAUUCUCAGGUGGUGAGCAUGGGGGUUGGUGGUGUCAACAUGAGCCCACCUGCUAUCUUUUGAGCUCCGCGUGUCCACUUUCACUGGCUCCCAAGUUGCCUCUUCCUCCCAGGGAAGCAGUGCAGUGAAGUGAGGAGUGCUGGAUUUGGAGUACUGAGAGGUCACCAGCAUAGGAGGCCAAAAAAGAAUCGAGUGAGGGAAAGAGCCCACUCAAAGUGAGGAGCGGAAGGCAAGGGAGUGAUGGGAGUGGGUGACUCAGGCCUUGUGACAGAAACAAGGAGGAGGAUGGAGGAGCCUUCAGAGUUAUACUCCUCUUGUCUUAUUGACUCAAAUGUAAAGAGGAAACCAAGAUGACUGGCAAAGCAAUACCUCCCUGUGACAAAGGCAACAGACCAAGAACCUCAAGGCAAGCCAAAGAAUUCCCUUGGAAGGAUAAAACUACCAGGCAGUCUGAGCUGGAUGGAACACGCUGGUGCAAAUGCAAAAGGUCACCGUUGGACUUGGCCAAGCUAGUAAAUGUCAAUAAGCUGGAGCUCCUUGCAACUUCAGCUUCUGCAUGUCGGGCAGUGCACCUCACCAUCAGGCCUAGGUCCCCACCUCUGCAGCCCACACUGACCCAGCUUGUCCCAAUGAGAGACCCCUUCUGAAUUGCUCACAUGGCAACCUAUCCAUCCAGAGUUCUCAACAUAACAAAAGCCCUGGCCAGGCCUUUUUGCAAGCUAGCCUUUUUCUGCAUAUAACCAUUUACAGAUUUGAGUCUCUCCCUUCUUGAUACAAAGAAAAACAAUAACAGAGAGGCUCAUGAAAUUGCAAAAUCAUGGAACACAAUUCUCUGUACCCUUUCUACAGGCACACCCUCUCAGCUCCAUGAAGGAGCCCAAUUCUUCAUUGUUCCCUGGGCUUUUUGCCAAGAAGUGAACUUUAAAGAAAUAAGAUCAUAAAGAUCCACAUAUCAACAAGUCCAUAGAAGCCCCUGGGAAUCUCAUUGGAAUGGGAGGCCUAACAUAUCCUAGACAUUAACUUCCCCAGGCCCACUGCAUUGGCUCAAGCCAGUUGAGAACUUGGCUUUCUACUAAAAUAUAUGCCUUCCUGGGAAAGGUUCUGUUCCUGGUUCGGUAUCAGCAUCUCUGGGAAUCUGUACUGUGUAUGCAGAUUGUCUGCAUUCAAAUCCAGGUUCCAGCACUUAUUAAUUAGGGGAAGUCAGGAAUGUUCACCUAACUUCCUUCGCCCUCAGUUUCUCCAUCAGUAAAAUGGAAGAUAGUAAUAUCUAUCUUAUAGGGUGUUGUAGGUAAAUGUACUUAUUCUAUUCCUUAAAAGUAGGAUCUGAUCAGGAACUGUACUUAGGCAGAACAGGAUCCUUCUGGGGAAAAGCAAUGAAGAAGAAGGUAGAAAAGGAUACAUUAAAAAAAAAGAAAAGCUGCGGAUACUGAAAUUGAAAGGCCAUCUUCAAAUGGUGCCCCUGGGAUCAGCUGCCGACAAGUGCACAGGCCCAGGUAGUGAUAGGGACACAGGUACCAGUGGAGGAUAGAGCACUGGCAAGGUGCCAGGGAAAGCAUGAGUGGCCUAAACAAUGCUCUGCAGCUUUAAGGGGUUCAAUGUACAUUAACAUUAUGAACGUAAUGAAUGCUGCUAUUAAAAAUUUGGAAGAAUACAAAUAAAAGUUUUGUAAAUCAAUACUUCUAC